AGAGUUUGAUCCUGGCUCAGGAUGAACGCUAGCGGCAGGCUUAACACAUGCAAGUCGAGGGGUAUAGGUUUUCGGACCUAGAGACCGGCGCACGGGUGCGUAACGCGUAUGCAAUCUGCCUUUUACAGAGGGAUAGCCCAGAGAAAUUUGGAUUAAUACCUCAUAGUAUUAUUGAAUGGCAUCAUUUAAUAAUUAAAGUCACAACGGUAAAAGAUGAGCAUGCGUCCCAUUAGCUAGUUGGUAAGGUAACGGCUUACCAAGGCAACGAUGGGUAGGGGUCCUGAGAGGGAGAUCCCCCACACUGGUACUGAGACACGGACCAGACUCCUACGGGAGGCAGCAGUGAGGAAUAUUGGUCAAUGGGCGCAAGCCUGAACCAGCCAUGCCGCGUGCAGGAUGACGGUCCUAUGGAUUGUAAACUGCUUUUGUACAGGAAGAAACAGUUCUACGUGUAGAACCUUGACGGUACUGUAAGAAUAAGGAUCGGCUAACUCCGUGCCAGCAGCCGCGGUAAUACGGAGGAUCCAAGCGUUAUCCGGAAUCAUUGGGUUUAAAGGGUCCGUAGGCGGUUUUGUAAGUCAGUGGUGAAAGCCCAUCGCUCAACGGUGGAACGGCCAUUGAUACUGCAAGACUUGAAUUAUUAGGAAGUAACUAGAAUAUGUAGUGUAGCGGUGAAAUGCUUAGAUAUUACAUGGAAUACCAAUUGCGAAGGCAGGUUACUACUAAUGGAUUGACGCUGAUGGACGAAAGCGUGGGGAGCGAACAGGAUUAGAUACCCUAGUAGUCC
rnacentral:rRNA from 1 species